rnacentral:lncRNA from 1 species
GGCAUCUGUAAGAGCUGGCUGGACCCCUCACUUCCGUGCACCGUUACACCCUGAGCAGGAGGAUGGAAAAAAGCACACCUGGCAGUAGAAUUAGGAACAUGACGUCCGCGCCUGGACAGAACAGUUUACCAGUAAAUAGAGGCCAGCGUGAUGGGAGCAGAGAGGGAAACAGAGCCAGGCUCAAGAUGCGGCUGGAGAGAGAGGCAAGUGUCAGACCACAUGUGGCUGCCAAGCUGGGUUAUGGAGCGUGGACUUGACCCGGGGACCAAGGGAAGCUGUCAAAGCUGCAGGUAGGGGUCGCCAGCACAGAUCCGCAGGUCUGAAAGUGUGGGGAGGGCACAGAGCUGCAGGAGAGAGGCGAGCACCUUGAAAGAACCCACAAGUGCCCGUGUAUUUUCUGCAUAGGAAGCUACUCAAAGCCAAACUCCUAGCCUCAGUGGCGGCCCACAGAAGUGUUUAAACUGCCUUUGAGAAAAAGGGGUCUUCACACUCCAAAAGGCUGGGCAGGCCCCAGCUACGGGAUAAAAUGCAAGCCUCUCGUGUGGUCCUGCACCACCUUCCGUGACGUGGCUUGGCCUCGGGCUCCAAGCCUGACCCCCCAAGUCCUCAUGCAACCCCCUCCCCUGGGGACCAUGGUGCCCGGUGCCUCCACGCCAUGGCACGGGCUGCCCCUCUGUCCAGGCUGCCCUCCCCUUCUUGGGUCUCGUUCCACAACCUGAGCAGUGCCUCACACAGGGCAAGCUCCCCAUCAACGCGUGUUUGUUUUACACACAGCAGAGUUCAUUGCUCCCAUCCCGUGAAGCACACACCUCUGACACAGCAGGCAGGUCAACAGUCUACACUAAGCUGUUUACCUGCACCUCCGCCCAGACCGCGCUCCCAGAGGGCUGGGACCAGGUCUUUGCCGUCCUGCCGUCCUCACGGCCCGGCACCUGGUGGAGAGAUCAAGGCACAGAGAGGUUAAGUCACGUGCCCGAGACGCCCAGCUGUGAUGCUCGAAGUGGACACCCUACGCAGAGUCGCACCAGCAGCCUUUCCAGCAUCUUCUCCUGACGGACGCCAUGUCCCCAACACCUGUGAGACUCCUGGUUUGUCGCACCCUCCAGGGCGUUCUCUCCCGGGCACACCACCCCAAUUUCCCGCCAGUGGGAGUUUUAAUGAUGCCACGUGUCCCAAGGGUUCUCUGUGCUCCGCCUACCACAGCGAUGGGGUCCUCACUGCCAGGCGGGCAGGCAGAACUCCAGCUGCCAAGCCGCGCCUCACCACCUGCUUUCCUGGACCACUCCCGACUGGCACGCUGGGUCUCUGGAAGCAGACGCCGACACAGAGCCCGAGUGUGAGGACGUACGAGGGUCAACACUUCUGAAGGAAGGUGAAAAGCAGGACUGGGCAGAGAGCAGGCAUCGCACUGCCGUGCAGGCCUGUGGGAGCCGGGACCAGCCCGAGGGAGCUCCGGAGGGAGGGCCGCCUGUCAGAGUUGUCCCACACGGCUCACGAUGGCAGGGGUUCAUACCCCAACUCACUCAGUCGCUGGAUCUGGAUCCAGGCUGCCCCAGGAAGGGUGUGACCUCGGGCUCUCUGAAACCGAGGCUGACCCAGACGGAGCUGGCAGCUGGGAGCUUCGGUGACCUCACUCCCCACAUCCGGGCAGCAGGAUCUGCCCUGAAGGGUGAUGAGGCAGUGCCUCUCUGUGUGACAAUGGCACAGUUUACCAUUCAUUCAUUCAACAAACAUUGGCUGCUAGGCACUGUUCUGGGUUCUGCAGACACAGGCGGUGUGGAGACAAGCCGUUCUCUCUCUCUCUCUCUCUCUCUUUCUCUCGUGGAGAUUUAACACACUUCUCCCCGUAAUAGCACGGCCUCGACGAUUAUUUCUUUAAACAGCUUUAGGGAGAUAUAACUACGUACCAUACAAUGCACCUAUUUAAAGUAUAGAAUUCAAUGGGUUUUAGUGUAGUCAUAUAGUUGCGCAAACAUCACCACAAUCAAUUUGAGAACAUUUUCAUCACCCCAAAAAGACACCCUAUAUAAAUUAGCAGUCACUCCACUUUUUCCCCCAACUACUGCACCCUCAUCCUAGGCAACCAGUAAUCUACUUCCAGUCCCUAUAGAUUUGCCUAUUCUGGACGGGUCACAUAAACGGAAUUAUGCACUGUGUGGUCUUUCAUUUAGCUUAGUGCUUUCAAGGUUCCUGAUGUCGUAGCGUGAAUGAACACUCCACUCAUUGUCAUGGUUGAAUAAUAACCCAGUGUGUGGAUAGAGCACAUUCUGUUGAUCAGUUGAAGGAUUGCUGACUGCUAACGAAGGACGCUGCUACGACCACUCGUGUACGAGUUUUUGCGUGGACAUAUGUGUUCAGACUCUUGCCUGGUCGUGGAAUUGCAGAGUCGUGUGAUAACUCUAUGUUUAACAUUUUGGGGAACUGCCAGACUCUUUUCCAAGGUGGCUGCACCAUUUGACAAUCCCACGAGCAGGGUAGGAGAGGUCCAGUUUCUCCCCAUCCUUGCCAACACUUGUUGUUGUCUGUCUACUUGAUCAAGGGCACCCAUUGGGUGUAAAGUUUUGUCUCGUUGUGGUUUUGAUUCACGUUUCCCUGAUGGCUGAUGAUGUGAGCAUCUUUUCCUGUGCUUAUUGGCAGCCUCAGUAAGUUUAGCUUGGAAUUAAAAUGGUCCAGUUCAGGGAUUUUCACACUUGCUUGAGCCUUAGAACUCUUUCUUCAGAUCAGAGUUUACAGGAAAAUCUAACACACAAAACAAAGAAACCCGGAGCUGGGGGUCCCUGUGAGUGAAGCGGGGAGAGGGACCCACAGCUGGAGCCGCUCUGCCCCACAUCUCCCCAGAGCCUGCCUUCAAGAGCGAGGCCCCUGACACUAUGAGAACUUGGGAAAGCAUAGUUUGAACCCACUAAUUAGGACAACAUCACAAGAUAACUGAUAAGACCAGGCGGUAAACACUGGAGCAUCUUAAGUGGAGCUUAUGAGAGACACCGAUCCUGAGCUCACGCUGCCGAGCCCCACAAGAGUUCCUGACCCAAAGAAACUGAGAGACAACAAACGCUUAUUGUUGCUUUAAAUCUCUAAGUUUUAGAGUAAUUUGUUGUGUAGCAAUAGAAAACAAAUGCACAAGAAUAGAGUACUAUGAAAAAAGAACAUUUAUAGAACAUAAAAGAGCUCUUGGAAAUUCCAUGCACAAAAGUGGAAAUAAUAAAUUCAAUAGAUAGUUGGAAAUAAAGUUGAGGAAAUGUUCCAGAAAGAAGAGCUAAAAGACAAUGAGAUGGGAAAUGGGAGAGAAAACAUUACCCCUGGAGCAUCAAGCUCAUGAAAAAUAGCAGUUCUUGUUAGAAAGAAGAGAGAAAACAGGGGUCAGAAAAUCCUUACUGAAAUAGUCCAAGAAAAUUUCUCCAAACUGAACUGAAAUACACUUCAGUUACCAAGUUCAAAGGGCACAGCAAGUGCCCACAACAAUGUCUGAAAAUAGAAAUACACUAAGGUACAUCAUGGUCAACUUUCAGAACACCGAGGAUAAAGAGACCCUACGAGCCUGUGUGAAUACACAGACAGAGGGACCUGUCCUAACGAUCAGAAAUGAAAAUAGCUUCAGACCCUCGUUGGUGGAGCAUAGCUUCCUCAGAAAGAAUAUGUGGAAGGUGCCCUUGCCACCUCCAAGGCCUUCAGAGGGUCCCUCGAGUGGUCUACUACCAGAGAGCCUUCCUGGAUACCACCUCUUUCUUCCAUGUUCAUGUGUCCCUUUCUCCAGAAGGACCUAAUUUUUCCCUUCUUUGAACUCCUCACAGAUCCAUUCAUUCAUUCAUUCAUUUCCUGUUGGUUUUUUAAAUUAAGGUUUAUUGAACAACCACUAUGCUCCAGACCCUGAG